rnacentral:rRNA from 1 species
UACGGUGGGGGUAAGCGUUGUUCGGAAUUACUGGGCGUAAAGGGCUCGUAGGCGGCCAACUAAGUCAGACGUGAAAUCCCUCAGCUUAACUGGGGAACUGCGUCUGAUACUGGAUGGCUUGGAUUUGGGAGAGGAAUGCGGAAUUCCAGGUGUAGCGGUGAAAUGCGUAGAUAUCUGGAGGAACACCGGUGGCGAAGGCGGCAUUCUGGACCAAUAUUGACGCUGAGGAGCGAAAGCCAGGGGAGCAAACGGG